rnacentral:tRNA from 1 species
GGAAAGAUGUCCGAGUAUGGUUUAUGGUAUGGACCUGGAACGUCUAUGUAGUAUUUUUAUACUACCGAGGGUUCAAAUCCCUCUCUUUCCU